CACCAUUAAUUAAAAAAGGAAUGAAUUCAAGGAUGAUUAAAAAAUACUAUAAGAAUACAUAUCGAGAUCAUUAGAGUGGCGUGGUAUUUUAAAUCUAUGUCAGAGUUGUUUGACCUGUGAUAUCUUAGGAUUUAGAUAUCGUCGAUUCUGAAAUUUAUCCGAUAUGUAUCGAAGUUCAGCAAAAUUUUAUUUGUUAUAGUCUCAACUAAUUUAUGGAGAAGAACAAAAAUUUUAUAAUGUUCCUACCUUAUACAACAUACACCAUAUUGGAAAAAACAAAAUUGUGCUUACAGAAAGCCUAAUUAUUCAUAAUAUAAGAUUUAGUUUUUUCUCUGUUAUGGUGGCUGUGCAGUUAAAACAAGUGCCUUUUUUAUGUGAAAGUAUUGCCAAUGAGGUACUUAUAAGAAUGAACAUUAAAA